GUGGCUGUGGGAAACAUGUGAGGAUUUGUUAUUUAGUGCAUUCAUGACACAUGGCUCCUCUUCCCCUUGGAUUCAUUAUUCAUUAUUAUUCAAACUAAUGGUCCAUUUUGCUUUGCUGUUUCAACUUCUCAGAAUUAGGUUGGGCGUUGAUCUACUGUGAGUCCCUGGCGUAAGCUUUUUUAAUACAAUACUAUACUAUAUGUUUUAGUCGUCUAAUUUACUAUUCCCAAAUCACACAUUUCGGUCAUCAUUAACAAAUGCAGAAAUAUUUGUGCAGCUCUUUUUUUGUUUGUGUUUUAUUUCUAA
rnacentral:lncRNA from 1 species